GAUCCUACGGGGAGGCAGCAGUGGGGGAAUAUUGCACAAUGGGCGCAAGCCUGAUGCAGCCAUGCCGCGUGUAUGAAGAAGGACCUUCGGGUUGUAAAGUACUUUCAGCAGUGAGGAAGGUGGAUAUGUUAAUAGCAUAUUCAUUUGACGUUAGCUGCAGAAGAAAGCACCGGCUAACUCCGUGCCAGCAGCCGCGGUAAUACGGAGGGUGCGAGCGUUAAUCGGAAUUACUGGGCGUAAAGCGCAUGCAGGUGGUUUGUUAAGUCAGAUGUGAAAGCCCGGGGCUCAACCUCGGAAUUGCAUUUGAAACUGGCAAACUAGAGUACUGUAGAGGGGGGUAGGAAUUUCAGGUGUAGCGGUGAAAUGCGUAGAGAUCUGAAGGAAUACCGGUGGCGAAGGCGGCCCCCUGGACAGAUACUGACACUCAGAUGCGAAAGCGUGGGGAGCAAACAGGAUUAGAUACCCUGGUAG
rnacentral:rRNA from 1 species